rnacentral:rRNA from 1 species
CCUACGGGGAGCAGCAGUGAGGAAUAUUGGUCAAUGGGCGGGAGCCUGAACCAGCCAAGUCGCGUGAGGGAAGACGGUCCUAUGGAUUGUAAACUUCUUUUAUAUGGGAAUAAAAUGUUCCACGUGUGGGAUUUUGUAUGUACCAUAUGAAUAAGGAUCGGCUAACUCCGUGCCAGCAGCCGCGGUAAUACGGAGGAUCCGAGCGUUAUCCGGAUUUAUUGGGUUUAAAGGGAGCGUAGGUGGAUUGUUAAGUCAGUUGUGAAAGUUUGCGGCUCAACCGUAAAAUUGCAGUUGAAACUGGCAGUCUUGAGUACAGUAGAGGUGGGCGGAAUUCGUGGUGUAGCGGUGAAAUGCUUAGAUAUCACGAAGAACUCCGAUUGCGAAGGCAGCUCACUGGACUGCAACUGACACUGAGGCUCGAAAGUGUGGGUAUCAAACAGGAUUAGAUACCCCAGUAGUC